rnacentral:rRNA from 1 species
UACGAAGGGGGCUAGCGUUGCUCGGAAUCACUGGGCGUAAAGGGCGCGUAGGCGGAUCUUUAAGUCGGGGGUGAAAGCCUGUGGCUCAACCACAGAAUUGCCUUCGAUACUGGGGAUCUCGAGACCGGAAGAGGUGAGUGGAACUGCGAGUGUAGAGGUGAAAUUCGUAGAUAUUCGCAAGAACACCAGUGGCGAAGGCGGCUCACUGGCCCGGUACUGACGCUGAGGCACGAAAGCGUGGGGAGCAAACAGG